rnacentral:rRNA from 1 species
GUUUUCACCAACACUGGUUCGGACCUCCAUCCGCUGUUACACGGACUUCAUCCUGGCCAAGGGUAGAUCAUCCCGCUUCGCGUCUAUUCCCAGCGACUCAACGCCCUAUUCAGACUCGCUUUCGCUUCGGCUCGCUUGCGCUUAACCUUGCCACUGAGAAUAACUAGCCAGCUCAUUAUGCAAUAGGCACGAUGUCAGGCAUUCUCCUUGCGGAGCAUAGCCCUCCAACUGCUUGUAAGCGUGUGGUUUCAGGUACUAUUUCACUCCCCUCGCAGGGGUUCUUUUCACCUUUCCCUCACGGUACUGGUUCACUAUCGGUCGCAAAUUAGUAUUUAGCCUUACCGGAUGGUCCCGGCAGAUUCCCGCAGGGUUUCUCGUGCCCCGCGGUACUCAGGAACCACUGGAAGGAGGAUUGCAUUUUCACCUACGGGGCUGUCACCCUCUAUGGCCGGCCUUUCCAGACCGUUCGAUUAACACUUUCCUAUCCCUCUGUUUACCAGGUCUCGGGUCAGGCCUUUCAGCCUUACCCGACACCUGAUAUUGUGGUCCUACAACCCCAGGCUCUCCUUACGAAUCGCCUGGUUUGGGCUAUUCCGAUUUCGCUCGCCACUACUUUCGGAAUCUCUGUUGAUUUCUCUUCCUCUGGGUACUGAGAUGGUUCACUUCCCCAGGUUCGCUCGAUCACCCUAUGGAUUCAGAUGAACGUAAUUGAUGUUCGCAUCAAUUGGGUUUCCCCAUUCGGAAAUCCCCGGAUCACAGACUGUUAGCGUCUUCCCGGGGCUUAUCGCAGCUGACCACGUCCUUCAUCGCCUACUUGCGCCAAGGCAUCCACACACACGCCCUUAGUAGCUUGACCAUAAAAUCUACUCUGAACAC